GCUGGACGUGGUGGAGCACACCUGUAAUCCUAGCAACUCAGGAGGCUGAGGCUGGAAGAUCACAAGUUCAAAGCCAGCCUCAAAAACUUUAGGGAGGCCCUAAGCAAUUUUGUGAGACCCUGUCUCAA
rnacentral:sRNA from 1 species